rnacentral:lncRNA from 13 species
GGGAUGAUCUUGAUUAUGUGUUUAUUUAUUUAGCAUAACCUUCCCAAACCUGCAAGCACUUUGAGGAUAGGAGCACAAUCUUAUCAUUUGCUAUAUCCUUGUAUCAGUCAGUUAAAUGUUCACCAAAACUUUUUCUUUUUCUUGAAAAUAGAGCAGGGCUCAUUUCAGAUUCCUUUGCAGUUAGAUGUGACUGAGUUCCAGCUAAUGGAACAUGUGUAGAAAUAUAUGUGCCACUUCCAGGCCUGGCUGUGAAAACCUCCCCUGCACACUCCAGCAUGAUCCCCCCUCCGACUAGACGAUGACAAGGCCCCAGGGAAUGGUAGAGGCUCAUGAUGAAAAAAUCCUGGCCUCUUGAAUGACUAAGUGAAGGAGAGUUGCGCCAGCAACCUACAUUCGCAUUCAGGACUGUUACAUGAGCAAAAAAUAAGCUCUGUGUUGACUAACUACAUGAGGCUACCCUAAGUAAAACAAUUCCCAAUGCCAAGAACAGUACCUGGUCCAUCAUUAUUCCGCGAUGAAUAGUGAUUGAAUGACUGACUAUUACACACUUAAUAAUGACAUGUUCCGUGAUGAAAUGGCUUUUUCCAACACUCGCUCUUCAUUUAGUAAGCUCCCUGAGGACAAAGAUGUUUUACCAAUCUCUAUACUCUGUGCUUUCCACUUUACCUAAACCUCAGCCAUUUUUCAAUGGAUGUGUGCUGCAUUGAGUUUCUAGGCAAUAUUAGGGAGACAAUGACUGGCAAAGCAUGGUCAAGAUGCACGACUAUGAGGAGGCUUUCCACAUGACUGCAGCCAUCAGUGUUGGUGCCACUCUUGCAAGCUUACCAAGGGCCCUCCACCUGGUUUUUAUUUGUAACAACUCUGAAAGGCUGGAGUGCAGUGGUCCAAUCGCUGCUCACUGUAACCUCUGCUUCCCAGGUUCAAGUGAUUCUCAUACUCAGUCACCCAAAUAGCUGAGACUACAGGUAUAUGCCACCACAUCCAGGUAAUUUUUCUAUUUUUAGUAGAAAUGGGUUUUCACCAUGUUGGCCAGGCUGGUCUCGAACUUCUGGCCUCAAAUAAUCUGCCCAACUCAGCCUCCCAAAGUGCUGGGAUUACAAGUGCAAGCCACCACGCCUGGUCCCUGAAUAUCUCAGAGUCCACUUGAAGGUCUA